UCCCAGAUGGCUCUGUGGUAAAGAAUCUGCCUGCCAAUGCAGAAAACACAGGUUCAAUCCCUGGACUGGGAA
rfam:TPA: Bos taurus chromosome 6, whole genome shotgun sequence.